rnacentral:rRNA from 1 species
AGUGAACGCUGGCGGUAGGCCUAACACAUGCAAGUCGAACGGCAGCACAGUAAGAGCUUGCUCUUACGGGUGGCGAGUGGCGGACGGGUGAGGAAUACAUCGGAAUCUACUUUUUCGUGGGGGAUAACGUAGGGAAACUUACGCUAAUACCGCAUACGACCUACGGGUGAAAGCAGUGGAUCUUCGGACCUUGCGCGAUUGAAUGGGCCGAUGUCGGAUUAGCUAGUUGGCGGGGUAAAGGCCCACCAAGGCGACGAUCCGUAGCUGGUCUGAGAGGAUGAUCAGCCACACUGGAACUGAGACACGGUCCAGACUCCUACGGGAGGCAGCAGUGGGGAAUAUUGGACAAUGGGCGCAAGCCUGAUCCAGCCAUACCGCGUGGGUGAAGAAGGCCUUCGGGUUGUAAAGCCCUUUUGUUGGGAAAGAAAAGCAGCAGGUUAAUACCCCGCUGUUCUGACGGUACCCAAAGAAUAAGCACCGGCUAACUUCGUG